GACGAACGCUGGCGGCGUGCUUAACACAUGCAAGUCGAACGGUGAAGCGCCUUCCUUUUUGGUUGGUGUGGUUGAGUGGCGAACGGGUGAGUAACACGUGCGUAACCUGCCCUCUUCUUCUGGAUAACCGCACGAAAGCGUGUCUAAUACGGGAUAUUCUGGGUCUGUCGCAUGAUGGGUCUGGGAAAGAUAUUGUUUCGGUGGGGGAUGGGCUGGCGGCGUUUCAGCUUGUUGGUGGUGUGAUGGCCUUUCAAGGGGGGGGGGGUUAGCCGGCCUGAGAGGGUGGACGGUCAGACUGGGAGUGAGGCACGGCCCGGACUGAUACGGGGGGCAGCAGUGGGGAGGAGGGCGCAGUGGGCAAAAGCGUGAUACGGCGGGGCCGCGUAAGGGGUAAAGGCGUGCGGGUUGUGAACCUCUUUCGGUAGUAAAGCGGGCCUGCCUCGUAUGUAGGUGGGUUGACGGUAACUGGAUAAGAAGCACCGGCUAACUACGUG
rnacentral:rRNA from 1 species